ACGGAGGAUGCAAGCGUUGUCAGGAUUCAUUGGGUUUAAAGGGCGCGCAGGCGGGCUCGUAAGUCAGUGGUGAAAGCUUACGGCUUAACUGUAAAAUUGCCAUUGAAACUGCGAGACUUGAGUAUAAAUAAGGCAGGUGGAAUGUGUGGUGUAGCGGUGAAAUGCGUAGAUAUAGGGCAGAAUACCGAUAGCGAAGGCAGCUUUCUGGCUUGAUACUGACGCUGAGGCGCGAAAGCGUGGGGAUCAAACAG
rnacentral:rRNA from 1 species